rnacentral:rRNA from 1 species
GUGAGGAAUAUUGGUCAAUGGGCGGGAGCCUGAACCAGCCAAGUCGCGUGAAGGAAGAAGGAUCUAUGGUUCGUAAACUUCUUUUGCAGGGGAAUAAAGUGCAGGACGUGUCCUGUUUUGUAUGUACCCUGAGAAUAAGGAUCGGCUAACUCCGUGCCAGCAGCCGCGGUAAUACGGAGUAUCCGAGCGUUAUCCGGAUUUAUUGGGUUUAAAGGGUGCGUAGGUGGUUUGAUAAGUCAGCGGUGAAAGUUUGCAGCUUAACUGUAAAAAUGCCGUUGAAACUGUCGGACUUGAGUGUACAUGAGGUAGGCGGAAUGCGUGGUGUAGCGGUGAAAUGCAUAGAUAUCACGCAGAACUCCGAUUGCGAAGGCAGCUUACUAAGCUACAACUGACACUGAAGCACGAAAGCGUGGGGAUCAAACAGGAUUAGAAACCCGUGUAGUCC